rnacentral:tRNA from 1 species
GGUGGCUCAGUGGUAGAGUACUUGCUUUCCAUGCAUGAGGCCUUGGGUUUGAUUCCUCAGCACCA